GCGCAUGUGUUAAGAUGGGUCUGGCGCAUCCUACGCGGCGAGGGAGGAUUAUGGUUACAGCUCAUUCAAGCGAAAUACCUAAGGGGAAACCCGCUCUUAGCAUGCAACCGGACGGAAGGCUCACAAUUCUGGUGAGCCAUCCAAAGGAUCAAGGAGGACAUCCGCCUAGGGAUCUCCUUCUCCUUAGGGAACGGGAAAGGGAUCCAAUUCUGGUUGGAUCCCUAG
rnacentral:rRNA from 1 species